rnacentral:rRNA from 1 species
GAGUUUGAUCAUGGCUCAGGAUGAACGCUGGCGGCGUGCCUAAUACAUGCAAGUCGAACGAACAGAUAAGGAGCUUGCUCCUUUGACGUUAGCGGCGGACGGGUGAGUAACACGUGGGUAACCUACCUAUAAGACUGGAAUAACUCCGGGAAACCGGGGCUAAUGCCGGAUAACAUGUUGAACCGCAUGGUUCUACAGUGAAAGACGGUCUUGCUGUCACUUAUAGAUGGACCCGCGCCGUAUUAGCUAGUUGGUGGGUAACGGCCUACCAAGGCGACGAUACGUAGCCGACCUGAGAGGGUGAUCGGCCACACUGGAACUGAGACACGGUCCAGACUCCUACGGGAGGCAGCAGUAGGGAAUCUUCCGCAAUGGGCGAAAGCCUGACGGAGCAACGCCGCGUGAGUGAUGAAGGUCUUCGGAUCGUAAAGCUCUGUUGUUAGGGAAGAACAAAUGUGUAAGUAACUGUGCAUAUCUUGACGGUACCUAACCAGAAAGCCACGGCUAACUACGUGCCAGCCGCCGCGG